AACGAACGCUAGCGGGAUGCCUCAAACAUGCAAGUCGAACGCGAAAGGUAGCAAUACCGAGUAGAGUGGCGCACGGGUGCGUAACACGUAGCUAACGUCCCCUUUUGCUGUGGAUAACUCCGGGAAACCGGAGCUAAUACAGAAUAAGCUGAUUUUUACUAUGGUUUAAAUCAGCAAAGCCGUAAGGCGCGAAAGGAUCGGGUUGCGUCCUAUUAGCUAGUUGGUGGGGUAACGGCUCACCAAGGCUACGAUAGGUAGCUGGUCUGAGAGGAUGAUCAGCCACACUGGAACUGAAAUACGGUCCAGACUCCCACGGGAGGCAGCAGUUGGGAAUAUUGCGCAAUGGGGGAAACCCUGACGCAGCAAUCCCGCGUGAGUGACGAAGGCCUUUGGGUCGUAAAGCUCUUUUAGUAGGGACGAAGGGAAACUUGACGGUACCUACAGAAAAAGCACCGGCUAACUACGUGCCAGCAGCCGCGGUAAUACGUAGGGUGCAAGCGUUGUUCGGAAUUAUUGGGCGUAAAGCGCGUGUAGGCGGCUACUUAAGUCUGGUGUGAAAUCCUGGGGCUUAACCCCAGAAGUGCACUGGAUACUGAGUGGCUAGAGGACAAGAGAGGAAAUUGGAAUUCCUGGUGUAGGGGUGAAAUCCGUAGAUAUCAGGAGGAACAUCGAAGGCGAAGGCAGAUUUCUGGCUUGUUACUGACGCUAAGACGCUAAAGCGUGGGGAGCAAACAGGAUUAGAUACCCUGGUAGUCCACGCCCUAAACGAUGGAUACUAGUUGUUAGGUCUCUACUGAUCUAGUGACGCAGCUAACGCGAUAAGUAUCCCGCCUGGGAAGUACGGUCGCAAGAUUAAAACUCAAAGGAAUUGACGGGGGCCCGCACAAGUGGUGGAGUAUGUGGUUUAAUUCGAUGCUACGCGAAAAACCUUACCUGGGCUUGACAUCCCGUGCUAACCUAUGAAAGUAGGCGUUCCCUUCGGGGACGCGGUGACAGGUGCUGCAUGGCUGUCGUCAGCUCGUGUUGUGAGAUGUUGGGUUAAGUCCCGCAACGAGCGCAACCCUCGUUCUUAGUUACCAUCAUUAAGUUGGGCACUCUAAGAAUACCGCUUGGCUAUAAGCCAGAGGAAGGCGGGGAUGACGUCAAGUCCUCAUGGCCUUUAUGCCCAGGGCUACACACGUACUACAAUGGAUGAUACAAAGCGCCGCUAGACUGCGAAGUUCGGCUUAAUCGCAAAAAAUCAUCCUCAGUUCGGAUUGGAGUCUGCAACUCGACUCCAUGAAGCUGGAAUCACUAGUAAUCGUUGAUCAGCAUGCAACGGUGAAUGCGUUCCCGGGCC
rnacentral:rRNA from 1 species